AGCGAACGCUGGCGGCAGGCCUAACACAUGCAAGUCGAACGAAGUCUUCGGACUUAGUGGCGGACGGGUGAGUAACACGUGGGAACGUACCUUUUGGUUCGGAACAACUCAGGGAAACUUGAGCUAAUACCGGAUGAGCCCUUAGGGGGAAAGAUUUAUCGCCGAAAGAGUGGCCCGCGUUAGAUUAGCUAGUUGGUGAGGUAAAGGCUCACCAAGGCUACGAUCUAUAGCUGGUCUGAGAGGAUGAUCAGCCACACUGGGACUGAGACACGGCCCAGACUCCUACGGGAGGCAGCAGUGGGGAACCUUGCGCAAUGGGCGAAAGCUUGACGCAGCCAUGCCGCGUGAAUGAUGAAGGUCUUAGGAUUGUAAAAUUCUUUUACCAGGGACGAUAAUGACGGUACCUGGAGAAAAAGCCCCGGCUAACUUCGUGCCAGCCGCCGCCGUAACAC
rnacentral:rRNA from 1 species